AGUCUGGGUGUGUGCGAUCGAGAGAAGGGAGCCAGGAGGAGCUUCUCCUUCAAAACCCUAACCUACUAAAUUCAAUCAAAUUGAAGGUGAAACCUGUGGUAAUCCAAUGCAUGAGUUAGGAAUGUUCAUUCCCUAAGUGAAUUUCACAUCAAGCACGAAGAAAGAAGAAGGCGCAAGUCACUCGAAGUUACAAGCAUCUCAAGAUCACGGUAAAUUCCAUGUAUAAUUACGGCGCUCUCGGACCGAACACACACACAAUGUCGACUUUUAUGCGCUUCCGGUUUAAGUUGCUUAUUUUAAAUGAGUCAAAUUACCAUUUUGAGUAGUAAAUGUUUAACUAGUAACUAGUACAAUAGUAGUAGUUUGAAGUUUAAACUUUGUUUUAAAUAGUUCGGAUUUAAUGUUUUGAUGAAAUAUGUAAGGUUCUAAAUCUUAGUACAUUUUGUAAGUGUCGUAGAAUGUAUUUUGAUUGAUUAUGUUAAAAAAGCAGGAAAUCGUCUUCCUUACGAAUGGGUCAUGUCAAAAUUUUUCUAAAACUGGUAUGAAGUUUAUGUUAUUUAUUAAAUGUUGAAAA